CGGAAUCACUGGGCGUAAAGCGCGCGCAGGCGGCUAUUUAAGUUGGAUGUGAAAGCCUACGGCUCAACCGUAGAACUGCAUCCAAAACUAUUUAGCUAGAGUGUGGGAGAGGAAGAUGGAAUUAGUUGUGUAGGGGUAAAAUCCGUAGAGAUAACUAGGAAUACCAAAAGCGAAGGCAAUCUUCUGGAACACUACUGACGCUGAGGCGCGAAAGCGUGGGGAGCAAACAGGAUUAGAUACCCUGGUAGUCCACGCAGUAAACGAUGAAUGUUAGUCGUCGGGUAGCUAGUCUAUUCGGUGAUGCAGCUAACGCAUUAAACAUUCCGCCUGGGGAGUACGGUCGCAAGAUUAAAACUCAAAGGAAUAGACGGGGACCCGCACAAGUGGUGGAGCAUGUGGUUUAAUUCGAAGAUACGCGAAGAACCUUACCUAGCCUUGACAUAUAUUAGAACACCCUAGAGAUAGAGUGGUGCCUUCGGGAGCUUUUAUACAGGUGCUGCACGGCUGUCGUCAGCUCGUGUCGUGAGAUGUUGGGUUAAGUCCGCAACGAGCGCANCCUCGUCACUAGUUACUAACGGUUCGGCCGAGGACUCUAGUGAGACUGCCUUCGUANGGAGGAGGAAGGUGAGGACNACGUCAAGUCAUCAUGGCCCUUACGGCUAGGGGCACNCACGUGCUACAUGGUUGGGACAUNANAC
rnacentral:rRNA from 1 species